AGUCCACGCUGUAAACGAUGAUUACUGGUUGUUUGCGAUACACAGCAAGUGACUGAGCGAAAGCAUUAAGUAAUCCACCUGGGGAGUACGUCGGCAACGAUGAAACUCAAAGGAAUUGACGGGGGCCCGCACAAGCGGAGGAACAUGUGGUUUAAUUCGAUGAUACGCGAGGAACCUUACCUGGGUUUAAAUGGGAAGUGACAGGCUUGGAAACAGGCCCUUCUUCGGACACUUUUCAAGGUGCUGCAUGGUUGUCGUCAGCUCGUGCCGUGAGGUGUCGGGUUAAGUCCCAUAACGAGCGCAACCCCUAUCGAUAGUUACCAGCACGUAAUGGUGGGGACUCUAUCGAGACUGCCGGUGUAAACCGUGAGGAAGGUGGGAAUGACGUCAAAUCAGCACGGCCCUUACAUCCAGGGCUACACACGUGUUACAAUGGCCGGUACAAAGGGCAGCUACACAGCGAUGUGAUGCUAAUCUCGAAAGCCGGUCUCAGUUCGGAUCGAAGUCUGCAACCCGACUUCGUGAAGCUGGAUUCGCUAGUAAUCGCGCAU
rnacentral:rRNA from 1 species